CCCUCUCGUACAUGAAAGCUAAACCAUUCCACCCAUCUCUCCCACUCUCUGGUCCAAACAUUGGGUGAGUGCAAAGCACAUCCGACUCUUCGGGGAGCACCUUACCCAUGGAAUUCAAAUAUAUGUAUCACAUGGGUAAACAGUAGUGUCAAACAAUGUGAUUUCUAUAAUAGCUUAGCUUAUUUUAAAAAAUGACCAUCAAGUGAACUUCGUGCGCUUUCCCAACUCACUUGGGAUGUAAUCGGAUGGGUGGGCCAGGAUUCCCCUCCCCCAUCCAUCCUCGUUUGUAAUUUUCUUAUCCCAUCUCCACUUCAUUCUCCGUCUUAGACUAGGCGGGGUAGGGACAAGGAAUCCCCACUAGGGGCAAGUUCCCCAUCCCUAUCCCACUAGGUCGAGGUAGGGAGACAAAUACUCAAUUACAAACCAAGAAAUGGACUAGCAAACAGAAAUUCCAAUCCAGAUCCAAAAUCAAAAGCUUCAUGGACAUGUUAGAUAUAGAUAUUAUAUGUGUGUAUGGGGAUAACAAUUUAAACAUGAACAGGGUUCUCUUAUUUUAUACUUGAGUUGAAAAGUGUAGGCUGUGAAGGGCAUCUUUCUUUAUUCUCUCUACUAAAUAAAAGUCUCUCAAUUCCCCUUUUCUUCCUAUUUCACAUCAGGGUGUUCAGUUGUAAGUACAUACUUGCAAUAGAACCUCUCUUGGGCCUUCUUUAACCGAUAGGACGUCGGCAAAGAGUGUCGGCCGCUUAAGACAGUGGAGAGGCAAUGACUCGAGGACCUCCGUUAGAGAUAGUAUAGAUGUGCAUAGCAUUAUAACAUCAUUCUCUGCUUCAAUAAAUUCAUUCAUGCCCCUGUCAAUCCACCCACAUCUAUUACAUAUUGAAAAAGAAAAAAGAAGCCAAGACUCCCAAGGUAUUUUUCUGAAAAAGAAAUGCUGAAAAUGGCACUUUCCAAUAGCAUUUUUUUUUUAAGUCUUUAACAGAGAAAAUGUGAGAGUAUUGUACCUGAAGAAUGAGAUGCCCAAGCGGGCGCAGAGCUGAGAGUGAUCUGACCGAGAAGUUGCGGUGAGGGUAUGGCCUUGUUUCAUCAUGGUUUUUGCCAGGAACUGCCCAA
rnacentral:lncRNA from 1 species